rnacentral:rRNA from 1 species
CCUAACACACAAACAUUGACCUCAAAUCAGGUAGGACUACCCGCUGAACUUAAGCAUAUCAAUAAGCGGAGGAAAAGAAACCAACAGGGAUUGCCUCAGUAACGGCGAGUGAAGCGGCAAAAGCUCAAAUUUGAAAUCUGGCAGCCUCGCUGUCCGAGUUGUAAUUUGAAGAUUUCUCUUUGUGAGAGGCGCCUUGUCUAUGUUCCUUGGAACAGGACGUCGCAGAGGGUGAGAAUCCCGUGUGAUGAGGCCGCCGAUCCGUGUAAAGAGUCAUCGACGAGUCGAGUUGUUUGGGAAUGCAGCUCUAAGUGGGUGGUAAACUCCAUCUAAAGCUAAAUAUUGGCGAGAGACCGAUAGCGAACAAGUACAGUGAUGGAAAGAUGAAAAGAACUUUGAAAAGAGAGUGAAAAAGUACGUGAAAUUGUUGAAAGGGAAGGUUAUUAGAUCAGACUUGGCGGCGCGCCAUACCUGUCCUCUUGUAGGGCGGACACUGGCGCGUGUUUGCUGGGCCAGCAUCGAUUCGGGCGGCGGGACAUGGUCCUGUGGGAUGUGGCUGUUUUAACACAGUGUUAUAACCACGGGUCUCUGCCGCCUGCCUGGAUCGAGGACUGCGUCUGUUUACAGACUAGGAUGCUGGCGUAAUGAUCUAAUAUCGCCCGUCUUGA